UACGUAGGGGGCAAGCGUUGUCCGGAUUUAUUGGGCGUAAAGCGCGCGUAGGCGGCAAGGUGUGUCGUGCGUGAAAUCUCCCGGCUUAACUGGGAGGGGCCGUGCGAAACUGCCUGGCUUGAGGUCGGAAGGGGAAAGUGGAAUUCCGGGUGUAGUGGUGGAAUACGUAGAUAUCCGGAGGAACACCAGCGGCGAAGGCGGCUUUCUGGUCCGAUACUGACGCUGAGGUGCGAAAGCGUGGGGAGCGAUCCGG
rnacentral:rRNA from 1 species